GUGCCAGACUCCUACGGGAGGCAGCAGUGGGGGAUAUUGGACAAUGGGGGGAACCCUGAUCCAGCGACGCCGCGUGGGUGAAGAAGUAUUUCGGUAUGUAAAGCUCUGUCAGCAGGGAAGAAAGCAAUGACGGUACCUGACCAAGAAGCCCCGGCUAACUACGUGCCAGCAGCCGCGGUAAUACGUAGGGGGCAAGCGUUAUCCGGAAUUACUGGGUGUAAAGGGAGCGUAGACGGCUGUGCAAGUCUGGAGUGAAAGGCGGGGGCUCAACCCCAGGACUGCAUUGGAAACUGUUAGGCUGGAGUGUCGGAGAGGUAAGCGGAAUUCCUAGUGUAGCGGUGAAAUGCGUAGAUAUUAGGAGGAACACCAGUGGCGAAGGCGGCUUACUGGACGACAACUGACGCUGAGGCUCGAAAGCGUGGGGAGCAAACAGGAUUAGAUACCCGGGUAAU
rnacentral:rRNA from 1 species